rnacentral:rRNA from 1 species
CUACCAUGCAGUCUCUUGAUCCUUCGGGUGAAGGUGGCGGACGGGUGAGUAACGCGUAAAGAACUUGCCUUACAGACUGGGACAACAUUUGGAAACGAAUGCUAAUACCGGAUAUUAUGACUGAGUCGCAUGAUUUGGUUAUGAAAGCUAUAUGCGCUGUGAGAGAGCUUUGCGUCCCAUUAGUUAGUUGGUGAGGUAACGGCUCACCAAGACGAUGAUGGGUAGCCGGCCUGAGAGGGUGAACGGCCACAAGGGGACUGAGACACGGCCCUUACUCCUACGGGAGGCAGCAGUGGGGAAUAUUGGACAAUGGACCAAAAGUCUGAUCCAGCAAUUCUGUGUGCACGAUGAAGUUUUUUCGGAAUGUAAAGUGCUUUCAGUUGGGAAGAAGUCAGUGACGGUACCCAACAGAAGAAGCGACGGCUAAAUACGUGCCAGCAGCCGCGGUAAUACGUAUGUCGCAAGCGUUAUCCGGAUUUAUUGGGCGUAAAGCGCGUCUAGGCGGUUUAGUAAGUCUGAUGUGAAAAUGCGGGGCUCAACCCCGUAUUGCGUUGGAAACUGCUAAACUAGAGUACUGGAGAGGUAGGCGGAACUACAAGUGUAGAGGUGAAAUUCGUAGAUAUUUGUAGGAAUGCCGAUGGGGAAGCCAGCCUACUGGACAGAUACUGACGCUAAAGCGCGAAAGCGUGGGUAGCAAACAGGAUUAGAUACCCUGGUAGUCCACGCCGUAAACGAUGAUUACUAGGUGUUGGGGGUCGAACCUCAGCGCCCAAGCUAACGCGAUAAGUAAUCCGCCUGGGGAGUACGUACGCAAGUAUGAAACUCAAAGGAAUUGACGGGGACCCGCACAAGCGGUGGAGCAUGUGGUUUAAUUNCGACGCAACGCGAGGAACCNUUACCAGCGUUUGACAUCCCAAGAAGUUAACAGAGAUGUUUUCGUGCCCUCUUCGGAAGGAACUUGGUGACAGGUGGUGCAUGGCUGUCGUCACCUCGUGUCGUGAGAUGUUGGGUUAAGUCCCCCAACGAGCGCAACCCCUUUCGUAUGUUACCAUCAUUAAGUUGGGGACUCAUGCGAGACUGCCUGCGAUGAGCAGGAGGAAGGUGGGGAUGACGUCAAGUCAUCAUGCCCCUUAUACGCUGGGCUACACACGUGCUACAAUGGGUAGUACAGAGAGCUGCAAACCUGCGAGGGUAAGCUAAUCUCAUAAAACUAUUCUUAGUUCGGAUUGUACUCUGCAACUCGAGUACAUGAAGUUGGAAUCGCUAGUAAUCGCAAAUCAGCUAUGUUGCGGUGAAUACGUUCUCGGGUCUUGUACACACCGCCCNACACACCACGAGAGUUGGUUGCACCCUGAAGUAAACAGGCCUAANCCGUAAGGAGGGGAUGUUCCGAGGGGUG